UGUGGUGGGAGGACAGUGAUGU
rnacentral:miRNA from 1 species